CCUACGGGUGGCAGCAGUGAGGGAUAUUGGUCAAUGGGGGAAACCCUGAACCAGCAACGCCGCGUGAGGGAAGACGGUUUUCGGAUUGUAAACCUCUGUCCUCUGUGAAGAUAAUGACGGUAGCAGAGGAGGAAGCUCCGGCUAACUACGUGCCAGCAGCCGCGGUAAUACGUAGGGAGCAAGCGUUGUCCGGAUUUACUGGGUGUAAAGGGUGCGUAGGCGGGAAGACAAGUUGAAUGUUUAAACUAUCGGCUCAACCGAUAAUCGCGUUCAAAACUGUUUUUCUUGAGUGAAGUAGAGGCAGGCGGAAUUCCUAGUGUAGCGGUGAAAUGCGUAGAUAUUAGGAGGAACACCAGUGGCGAAGGCGGCCUGCUGGGCUUUAACUGACGCUGAGGCUCGAAAGCGUGGGUAGCAAACAGGAUUAGAUACCCUUGUAGUC
rnacentral:rRNA from 1 species